rnacentral:misc_RNA from 1 species
GGAUAUUCUGCUUUCUACUUGAAGUGUAAGUUUCAAUUGGCAUUUGGUUAAGAGUACAACUUCUAUUCAGCUAAAUGCAGAGUUAUAUAUAUAUUCCAGCAGUGAGCAAUCAAACACAAAAAUAUUACCCGAGUUUAAGGAUCUAAUUUGGCACUAGGCAUGAAAAUAAUGCGACAACCUUUUUUCAUGCUUUUAAAAAUGAAAAACUAUAAUAAGAAAAAUCCUCAAUAUAAUUCCCUGUUUGUGCUCACAACAUGAUCAUCCAAAUUCUUUCAUAUCAAAAUUUCUAAAAAUGCAUUGAUCUUUUAGAAGCACAGACAGUAAUAGUAAUAGAUGAGAAUCAAAGGUGUCACUAACAUGACUUACCCCACUGAUUACAUCAUUAACUAA